rnacentral:rRNA from 1 species
GACAGAGGUGGCGAGCGUUGUUCGGAAUUACUGGGCUUAAAGGGCGAGUAGGCGUUCUGGUAAGUCAGCUGUGGAAUCUUUUCGCUUAACGGAAAAAUUGCAUCUGAAACUAUCGGGAUUGAGUCAGUGAGGGGAGGGCGGAAUUCCUGGUGUAGCGGUGAAAUGCGUAGAUAUCAGGAGGAAGGCCUGUGGCGAAGGCGGCCCUCUGGCACUGUACUGACGCUGAGGCGCGAAAGCGUGGGGAGCAAACAGGAUUAGAUACCCUGGUAGUCCACGCCCUAAACGGUGGGCAUUAGGUGUAGGGCUCGUAAGGGUUCUGUGCCGAAGGGAAACCAUUAAAUGCCCCGCCUGGGGAGUACGGCCGCAAGGUUGAAACUCAAAUGAAUUGACGG